AUUGAACGCUGGCGGCAGGCCUAACACAUGCAAGUCGAGCGGAUGAAGGGAGCUUGCUCCUGGAUUCAGCGGCGGACGGGUGAGUAAUGCCUAGGAAUCUGCCUGGUAGUGGGGGAUAACGUCCGGAAACGGGCGCUAAUACCGCAUACGUCCUGAGGGAGAAAGUGGGGGAUCUUCGGACCUCACGCUAUCAGAUGAGCCUAGGUCGGAUUAGCUAGUUGGUGGGGUAAAGGCCUACCAAGGCUACGAUCCGUAACUGGUCUGAGAGGAUGAUCAGUCACAGUGGAAGGGAAACACGCUCGAGACUACAGCGGGAGGAACAAGGGGGGAAUUUUGGACAGGGGGAGAAAUCUUGACCCAGCCUGGCGGGGGGGGGGAAGAAGUUUUGCGGUUUGUAAAGCCGUUUAAGUGGGGAGGAAGGCCAAUAAUUAAAUACCUUGUUUUUUUGACGUAACCAAAAAAAAAAGCACGGGCUAACUUCGUG
rnacentral:rRNA from 1 species